GACGAACGCUGGCGGCGUGCCUAAUACAUGCAAGUCGAACGCAGUGGGGACGGGUGAGUAACACGUGGGUAACCUCCCAUCAGAGGGGAUAACACUUGGAAUAAGGUGCUAAUCCCAUACUGAUGGAUGGACCCGCGGGGCAUUAGCUAGUUGGUGGGGUAACGGCUGACCAAGGCCACGAUCCAUAGCCGACCGGGGAGGUGGAUCGGCCACACUGGGACUGAGACACGGCCCAGACUCCUACGGGAGGCAGCAGUGGGGAAUCUUCGGCAAUGGACGAAAGUCUGACCGAGCAACGCCGCGUGAGUGAAGAAGGUUUUCGGAUCGUAAAACUCUGUUGUUAGAGAAGCGGUAUCUAACCAGAAAGCCACGGCUAACUACGUGCCAGCAGCCGCGGUAAUAC
rnacentral:rRNA from 1 species